GAGGGAGAGAGGGAGGUGGGUGAAGCUUCGGGUGCGCAAGUCAGUACCCCACACACACUGCUAGUAUGGACUUGCUCGUCCGUCCUAACACCUCGCUGUCUCGCUCUCGACUGGCCUAGCAGCUCCUCGCUCCUCCAGUUCUCCUGUUGCGCUCAAGCUCACGCUUACACUCUCUCCUUCAGCACAAGAGCUCGCUCCCUCACGCCGGUCCCCACGAUCCGUGUGCUGGAGGAAUGACGACCAUUCGUGACUUGUGAUCGGUGAUGGAGUAGCGAAAAAGGGCAAAUUUUUCUUAACACAGCCUCAGUUGAGGAGGGUAGUUGUACUGGGUGUGUGCGUGUGUCAGGUGUUAGAAUAGCCUCCUUUUGCCCUCUUACCCAGUCGCUCUCAGGUGCAACGAGCUUAAGUGUUGAGGCUGAGAAGUAGUGACUGGAACUUCACACGUAUAGAAAGCUUAAUGUGAUGAUGGCAAAUCCCUGAGAGAAAUUAUGCCAACCGAUGGCUCCGCUGGAAUCAUAACCCGACAUGACCUAAGACGUGUCACAGCCGCCGUUAGAGACAUCGUCGUUGAGCCGUGACAGGAGUAGAGAGUCUGCAUGCAUCACUCGAUGUCUGGCCACAACCGGGGGGGCGAGGGCAGGGGUCGCCCCAACGGCCGAGCCUACCACCCCAGCGAAAUCCCGCCCUACGAGAACUCAGGGGACAGCCUCGAACCCCCUUACUACGUUCAGGACCUCAACAAACAGAGGAGCCUUGGUGAGUAGAAUUGUAUUAAUAACUAGGAUUAUGAUAGGAAUAAUGAUAAUGAUAAUGGUAAGGGUAAGGGUAAUGGUAAUGGUAAUGGUAAUGGUAA